GCGGAUAUAGAUUAAUUGGUAAAUUAAUUGCCUUCCAAGUAAUAGUUAUGAGUUCAAAUCUCAUUAUCCGUA
rnacentral:tRNA from 1 species